rnacentral:rRNA from 1 species
GACGAACGCUGGCGGCGUGCUUAACACAUGCAAGUCGAACGGAAAGGCCCUGCUUUUGUGGGGUGCUCGAGUGGCGAACGGGUGAGUAACACGUGAGUAACCUGCCCUUGACUUUGGGAUAACUUCAGGAAACUGGGGCUAAUACCGGAUAGGAGCUCCUGCUGCAUGGUGGGGGUUGGAAAGUUUCGGCGGUUGGGGAUGGACUCGCGGCUUAUCAGCUUGUUGGUGGGGUAGUGGCUUACCAAGGCUUUGACGGGUAGCCGGCCUGAGAGGGUGACCGGCCACAUUGGGACUGAGAUACGGCCCAGACUCCUACGGGAGGCAGCAGUGGAGAAUAUUGCACAAUGGGCGGAAGCCUGUUGCAGCAACGCCGCGUGCGGGAUGACGGCCUUCGGGUUGUAAACCGCUUUCGCCUGUGACGAAGCGUGAGUGACGGUAAUGGGUAAAGAAGCACCGGCUAACUACGUG